CCUACGGGAGGCAGCAGUGGGGAAUAUUGCACAAUGGGGGAAACCCUGAUGCAGCGACGCCGCGUGAGUGAAGAAGUAUUUCGGUAUGUAAAGCUCUAUCAGCAGGGAAGAAAAUGACGGUACCUGAUUAAGAAGCCCCGGCUAACUACGUGCCAGCAGCCGCGGUAAUACGUAGGGGGCAAGCGUUAUCCGGAUUUACUGGGUGUAAAGGGAGCGUAGACGGCAGCACAAGUCUGGAGUGAAAUGCCGGGGCUUAACCCCGGAACUGCUUUGGAAACUGUGCAGCUUGAGUGCAGGAGAGGUAAGUGGAAUUCCUAGUGUAGCGGUGAAAUGCGUAGAUAUUAGGAGGAACACCAGUGGCGAAGGCGGCUUACUGGACUGUAACUGACGUUGAGGCUCGAAGGCGUGGGGAGCAAACAGGAUUAGUUACCCGAGUAGUC
rnacentral:rRNA from 1 species